rnacentral:rRNA from 1 species
GACGAACGCUGGCGGCGUGCUUAACACAUGCAAGUCGAACGAUGAUGCCAGCUUGCUGGUGGAUUAGUGGCGAACGGGUGAGUAACACGUGAGCAACCUGCCCCUGACUUCGGGAUAACCGCGGGAAACCGUGGCUAAUACCGGAUAUGACGCGCUAUCGCAUGGUGGUGUGUGGAAAGAUUUAUCGGUUGGGGAUGGGCUCGCGGCCUAUCAGCUUGUUGGUGGGGUGAUGGCCUACCAAGGCGACGACGGGUAGCCGGCCUGAGAGGGUGACCGGCCACACUGGGACUGCGACACGGCCCAGACUCCUACGAGAGGCAGAAGUGGGGAAUAUUGCACAAUGGGCGCAAGCCUGAUGCAGCGACGCCGCGUGAGGGAUGACGGCCUUCGGGUUGUGAACCUCUUUCAGUAGGGAAGAAGGCCUUCGGGUUGACGGUACCUGCAGAAGAAGCGCCGGCUAACUACGUG